rnacentral:rRNA from 1 species
AGCCAGACUCCUACGGGAGGCAGCAGUGGGGAGUAUUGCACAAUGGGGGAAACCCUGAUGCAGCGACGCCGCGUGAGCGAUGAAGUAUUUCGGUAUGUAAAGCUCUAUCAGCAGGGAAGAAAAUGACGGUACCUGACUAAGAAGCCCUGGCUAACUACGUGCCAGCAGCCGCGGUAAUACGUAGGGGGCAAGCGUUAUCCGGAUUUACUGGGUGUAAAGGGAGCGUAGACGGUCCUGCAAGCCAGAUGUGAAAGCCCGGGGCUCAACCCCGGGACUGCAUUUGGAACUGUAAGGCUAGAGUGUCGGAGAGGCAGGCGGAAUUCCUAGUGUAGCGGUGAAAUGCGUAGAUAUUAGGAGGAACACCAGUGGCGAAGGCGGCCUGCUGGGCUUUUACUGACGCUGAGGCUCGAAAGUGUGGGGAGCAAACGGGAUUAGAUACCCGGGUA